rnacentral:rRNA from 1 species
ACUCCUACGGGAGGCAGCAGUGGGGAAUAUUGCACAAUGGGGGAAACCCUGAUGCAGCCAUGCCGCGUGUGUGAAGAAGGCCUUCGGGUUGUAAAGCACUUUCAGUAGGGAGGAAGGUAGUGCAGUUAACACCUGCAUUAUUUGACGUUACCUACAGAAGAAGCACCGGCUAACUCCGUGCCAGCAGCCGCGGUAAUACGGAGGGUGCGAGCGUUAAUCGGAAUUACUGGGCGUAAAGCGCAUGCAGGCGGCCUGUUAAGUCAGAUGUGAAAGCCCGGGGCUUAACCUCGGAAUUGCAUUUGAAACUGGCAGGCUAGAGUCUUGUAGAGGGGGGUAGAAUUUCAGGUGUAGCGGUGAAAUGCGUAGAGAUCUGAAGGAAUACCAGUGGCGAAGGCGGCCCCCUGGACAAAGACUGACGCUCAGAUGCGAAAAGCGUGGGGAGCAAACAGGAUUAGAUACCCUGGUAGGAUAGCG